AGCGAACGCUGGCGGCAGGCCUAACACAUGCAAGUCGAACGAAGUCUUCGGACUUAGUGGCGGACGGGUGAGAAACACGUGGGAACGUACCUUUUGGUUCGGAAUAACUCAGGGAAACUUGUGCUAAUACCGAAUGUGCCCUUCGGGGGAAAGAUUUAUCGCCUUUAGAGCGGCCCGCGUCUGAUUAGCUAGUUGGUGAGGUAAAGGCUCACCAAGGCGACGAUCAGUAGCUGGUCUGAGAGGAUGAUCAGCCACAUUGGGACUGAGACACGGCCCAAACUCCUACGGGAGGCAGCAGUGGGGAAUCUUGCGCAAUGGGCGAAAGCCUGACGCAGCCAUGCCGCGUGAAUGAUGAAGGUCUUAGGAUUGUAAAAUUCUUUCACCGGGGACGAUAAUGACGGUACCCGGAGAAGAAGCCCCGGCUAACUUCGUGCCAGCCGCCGCUGUAACAC
rnacentral:rRNA from 1 species